rnacentral:rRNA from 1 species
UACGGAGGAUCCAAGCGUUAUCCGGAUUUAUUGGGUUUAAAGGGUGCGUAGGCGGCCUAUUAAGUCAGGGGUGAAAGACGGUAGCUUAACUAUCGCAGUGCCUUUGAUACUGAUGGGCUUGAAUACACUAGAGGUAGGCGGAAUGUGACAAGUAGCGGUGAAAUGCAUAGAUAUGUCGCAGAACACCAAUUGCGAAGGCAGCUUACUAUGGUGCAAUUGACGCUGAGGCACGAAAGCGUGGGGAUCAAACAGG